rnacentral:rRNA from 1 species
GACGAGCCUCACAAACGUUAUUCGGAAUUACUGGGCUUAAAGGGUGCGUAGGCGGCGCGGAAAGUUGGGUGUGAAAUCCCUCGGCUCAACCGAGGAAUUGCGCUCAAAACUACCGUGCUAGAGGGAGAUAGAGGAAUGCGGAACUUAGGGUGGAGCGGUGAAAUGCGUUGAUAUCCUAGGGAACACCGGUGGCGAAAGACGGCAUUCUGGAUCUCAUCUGACGCUGAUGCACGAAAAGCUAGGGGUAGCGAAACGGGG